rnacentral:snoRNA from 1 species
AUGAAGACUAGCUAACCGUGGCUCACAGCUAUGGGAUGGCCUAGGGCUCUCGCCGGA